UACGGGGGGGGUAAGCGUUGUUCGGAAUUACUGGGCGUAAAGGGCUCGUAGGCGGCCAACUAAGUCAUACGUGAAAUCCCUCAGCUUAACUGGGGAACUGCGUGUGAUACUGGAUGGCUUGGAUUUGGGAGAGGGAUGCGGAAUUCCAGGUGUAGCGGUGAAAUGCGUAGAUAUCUGGAGGAACACCCGUGGCGAAGGCGGCCAGCUGGGCCGUCCCUGACGCUGAGGCGCGAAGGCGUGGGGAGCGAACGGG
rnacentral:rRNA from 1 species